GACGCUGACAUGCUAACCGGUGAUGAGCAAGUUUGGAAAGAAGUCCAAGAAUCCCUGAAAGCAAUUGAAGAGCUGAAGGCACAUUGGAAGUGGGAGCAGGUUCUGGCCAUGUGCCAGACCAUCAUAAGCCGCAACGCUGAGCGGCUUCCCGAUCUCAACGUGUACCAGCUGAAGGUGCUGGACUGUGCCAUGGAUGCCUGCAUCCACCUGGGGCUGCUGGAAGAGGCGCUGUUCUACGGUAUACGCACCAUGGAGCCCUACCGGUGAUCUGCAACUCGUUCACCAUCUGUAAUGCAGAGAUGCAGGAAGUUGGUGUCGGCCUAUACCCCAGCAUGUCCUUGCUCAAUCACAGCUGUGACCCCAACUGUUCGAUUGUGUUCAACGGGCCCCACCUCUUACUGCGUGCAGUCCGUGACAUCGAGGCAGGAGAGGAGCUCACCAUCUGCUACCUGGACGUGCUGAUGACCAGUGAGGAGCGUCGGCAGCAGCUGAGGGACCAGUACUGCUUCGAGUGUGACUGUGUCCGGUGCCAAACCCAGGACAAGGUAUGUUGUAUGGAACCAGAUUGGAACACUUCCCAGGCAGUACCUCAGAGAUCGCUCACAAAACUCUGCCUUGAUUUCAUUAAUCCAAAAGUAAAGGAUGCUGAGAGCAUGGUGGGAGAGGCGAGUAAGUAAAACAGAGCUUUGCGCAAGUACAGUUUUCUCUUCUGGAACUUCUGUUGGCCCCAAGCUGAGGUUGAGUCCAGGCGAAGAUCUACAAGGCUUAGAGUGUUUUGGGAAUGUACACAUUAAGCAUAAACUUGCAAUCGAAGAAUACAGAAGUCCAGAGCGCUUCCAGAGCGAAUAAUGAGAGGGCUGAGUUACAUUCUGAUUAGCGAGAGUCCUGACUCAGACACACCAUCGAGUGGAAUCAAGAUGUUUAUCUCUUUAAAAUUUGUUCCACAUGGCUGUCUUCUGCAGCACUGUAUCAGAUGGAGAUCACUCGCCUAGCAACCCUUAUCUCUGUAAGGAAGAGGAGCCAGAACAAAUGCCAUAGAGAUAUGAAGACACUGUUCUCCAUCACUCAUGUCUUCCUCAUUUUGAGUCUAUUUACUUUGAGUUUGCACGCAAUUGGGUUAUCUGAUGUAUCCUUACUUUUGUAGGUGUUUAUAUCGUUAGAGUUCUUUAGUGAUCAGUAUCUCAUUUACUGUCAAUAUUGUAAAUAAAUUAGGAAAUCCAGAAAGGUUCAGAGACAUGCCUCUGGGAUAGGAGGAAGGAAAAAAAUAGCAGAACCAGGUGUCACACUCAGAUUUUCUGAUGAAAUUGAGCACUGCAUACACUAUCCCAUGGCUAUCUGUGACUUCUGCUGUGAGUCAGUAUCAGUGGAGGGAGGUAAUUGCUCUCACUGCCCAAAAGAGGACCACGAGCUCAUUCUAA